UGGGCAGUAGCUCAGUGGUAGAGCCUCCGCUUUGUAUGUGGAAAGACUUGGGUUCGAUUCCUGGCUGCUUCC
rnacentral:tRNA from 1 species